rnacentral:rRNA from 1 species
AUUGAACGCUGGCGGCAGGCCUAACACAUGCAAGUCGACCGAGUGGCGGACGGGUGAGUAAUGUCUGGGAAACUGCCUGAUGGAGGGGGAUAACUACUGGAAAAGGUAGCUAAUACCGCAUACCAUCGGAUGAUCCCAGAUGGGAUUAGCAAGUCGGUGGGGUAAAGGCUCACCUAGGCGACGAUCCCUAGCUGGUCUGAGAGGAUGACCAGCCACACGGGAACUGAGACCCGGUCCAGACACCUACGGGAGGCAGCAGUGGGGAAUAUUGCACAAUGGGCGCAAGCCUGAUGCAGCCAUGCAGCUUGUAUGAAGAAGGCCUUCGGGUUGUAAAGUACUUUCAGCGGGGAGGCGUUACCCGCAGAAGAGGCACCGGCUAACUCCGUGCCAGCAGCCGCGGUAAUAC